GAUGAACGCUGGCGGCGUGCCUAAUACAUGCAAGUCGAGCGAACAGACAAGGAGCUUGCUCCUCUGACGUUAGCGGCGGACGGGUGAGUAACACGUGGAUAACCUACCUAUAAGACUGGGAUAACUUCGGGAAACCGGAGCUAAUACCGGAUAAUAUAUUGAACCGCAUGGUUCAAUAGUGAAAGACGGUUUUGCUGUCACUUAUAGAUGGAUCCGCGCCGCAUUAGCUAGUUGGUAAGGUAACGGCUUACCAAGGCAACGAUGCGUAGCCGACCUGAGAGGGUGAUCGGCCACACUGGAACUGAGACACGGUCCAGACUCCUACGGGAGGCAGCAGUAGGGAAUCUUCCGCAAUGGGCGAAAGCUUGACGGAGCAACGCCGCGUGAGUGAUGAAGGUCUUCGGAUCGUAAAACUCUGUUAUUAGGGAAGAACAAAUGUGUAAGAAACUAUGCACGUCUUGACGGUACCUAAUCAGAAAGCCACGGCUAACUACGUG
rnacentral:rRNA from 1 species